rnacentral:rRNA from 1 species
GACGAACGCUGGCGGCGUGCCUAACACAUGCAAGUCGAGCGGUAUAGUGACUUCGGUUGCUAGAGAGCGGCGCACGGGUGAGUAACGCGUACAUGACCUACCUCUAAGAUCGGGAUAGCCCUGGGAAACUGGGAUUAAUACCGGAUGUGAUAAUAAGUAUAAGGAUUUAUUAUUAAAGUUGAGGCGCUUAGAGAUGGGUGUGCGUCUGAUUAGCUAGUUGGUAGGGUAAGGGCCUACCAAGGCGACGAUCAGUAGGGGGCGUGAGAGCGUGAUCCCCCACACGGGUACUGAGACACGGACCCGACUCCUACGGGAGGCAGCAGUAGGGAAUAUUGGUCAAUGGACGGAAGUCUGAACCAGCCAUUCCGCGUGCAGGAAGAAGGUCCUAUGGACUGUAAACUGCUUUUAGCAGAGAAGAAACGCCUUCAUUUAUGAGGGUCUGACGGUAUCUGCGGAAUAAGCACCGGCUAACUCCGUGCCAGCAGCCGCGGUAAUUCUCGCG